CACAAAUGUAAGCCUCCUGAAACAUAAGGAGCCAGAUAUGCUGGUUGUAUGAGAUUGAAUGAAACUCUUUCAUAGGAGAUGCUCCUUUUUGAAAAUAUUUACUGCAUGCUGAGAUGUAAAGCUGGGAGAAGAGAAAUGUACCUGUGCAAUGCAACCUGCAUGGGAAAUAGAGAAGUCCUCUCUUUACAGUUCCACAUAGCUUUAAGAAUGAGUGGGAUCUCUAAGGUCUGAUAAAAGUCUUGUGAAAUACAGAAUAAGAGCAUACAGUAUUUCAGCCACUGGUGGUCUGAAGCUCAUCCAGUAAAACACAAACAAAAACAAUAACAACAAAAAUGAUAAUAAUAAUAAUAAUAAUAAUAAUAAUAAAAAAAACCACCUCCAUUGAUCCACUUUGACUAGGUCUGUAACAGAGUGCAAGUUUGCCUGUGGAAGAACAUGGCUUGCUUCUUACAGCACGUACUUGAGAAUAAAUAAAUCCAAAAUGCCGUUGCAGAAUUAGCAGAAAUUUAUCUAUUCUGUGAGAUAAGAUGGAAUCACGCAGAAUACAAGAAAACUUGAACAUGGACAGAGGAGGAUGGUGACUGGUUAUCUUCUAUGUUGAGUGCAGGUCAUUCAGGAAUGGAGUCAUACCAAGAAAAUGCUGCCUUGUGGGGAUUCUUUAACCAAUUUCAGGCUCUGUGUAGUGGAAAACCUCAGGAGGGGAACCCAAGACUGCACUGUCAGUCCAAUCAUCAGAUAACAUUUGUUUUACUGCCUGAUUUGAAAACAUUCUCAUUUUGGAUGUCUCGAUUCAAUUGCAUUCAUAGGAAAAACUUCCCUUGCUCACCGUGUGGAUCCUCGGACUCUGAUGGAAAGGCAAAGAACGCACCAGGGGAUGGCUUUGUUUGA
rnacentral:lncRNA from 1 species